rnacentral:rRNA from 1 species
UUUUGAACCGCAUGGUUCAAAAGUGAAAGACGGUCUUGCUAUCACUUAUAGAUGGAUCCGCGCUGCAUUAGCUAGUUGGUAAGGUAACGGCUUACCAAGGCAACGAUGCAUAGCCGACCUGAGAGGGUGAUCGGCCACACUGGAACUGAGACACGGUCCAGACUCCUACGGGAGGCAGCAGUAGGGAAUCUUCCGCAAUGGGCGAAAGCCUGACGGAGCAACGCCGCGUGAGUGAUGAAGGUCUUCGGAUCGUAAAACUCUGUUAUUAGGGAAGAACAUAUUUGUAAGUAACUGUGCACAUCUUGACGGUACCUAAUCAGAAAGCCACGGCUAACUACGUGCCAGCAGCCGCGGUAAUACGUAGGUGGCAAGCGUUAUCCGGAAUUAUUGGGCGUAAAGCGCGCGUAGGCGGUUUCUUAAGUCUGAUGUGAAAGCCCACGGCUCAACCGUGGAGGGUCAUUGGAAACUGGGAAACUUGAGUGCAGAAGAGGAAAGUGGAAUUCCAUGUGUAGCGGUGAAAUGCGCAGAGAUAUGGAGGAACACCAGUGGCGAAGGCGACUUUCUGGUCUGUAACUGACGCUGAUGUGCGAAAGCGUGGGGAUCAAACAGGAUUAGAUACCCUGGUAGUCCACGCCGUAAACGAUGAGUGCUAAGUGUUAGGGGGUUUCCGCCCCUUAGUGCUGCAGCUAACGCAUUAAGCACUCCGCCUGGGGAGUACGACCGCAAGGUUGAA